CUGUUGAUUGGCUUAGUGGCGGACGGGUGAGUAACACGUAGGUAACCUACCCUUAAGCGGGGGACAACUCAGGGAAACUUGAGCUAAUACCGCAUAAGACCACAGGCUGAGAUGCCAGUGGGAAAAGGAGCGAUCCACUUAGGGAUGGGCCUGCGGCCUAUCAGGUAGUUGGUGAGGUAACGGCCCACCAAGCCAGAGACGGGUAGCCGGGCUGAGAGGUUGAACGGCCACACUGGAACUGAGAUACGGUCCAGACUCCUACGGGAGGCAGCAGUGGGGAAUAUUGCGCAAUGGGGGAAACCCUGACGCAGCGACGCCGCGUGGAGGAUGAAGGCCUUCGGGUUGUAAACUCCUUUUGUAGGGGAAGAUAAUGACGGUACCCUGCGAAUAAGCCACGGCUAACUCUGUGCCAGCAGCCGCGGUAAGACAGAGGUGGCGAGCGUUGUUCGGGAUUACUGGGCUUAAAGGGCGAGUAGGCGGUGGAGCAAGUCUGAGGUGGAAUCCUACGGCUUAACCGUAGAACUGCCUUAGAAACUGCUUUACUUGAGUCAGUGAGGGGAGGGCGGAAUUCCUGGUGUAGCGGUGAAAUGCGUAGAUAUCAGGAGGAAGGCCUGUGGCGAAAGUGGCCCUCUGGCACUGUACUGACGCUGAGGCGCGAAAGCGUGGGGAGCAAACAGGAUUAGAUACCCUGGUAGUCCACGCCCUAAACGGUGGGCAUUAGGUGUAGGGCUCGUAAGGGUUCUGUGCCGAAGGGAAACCAUUAAAUGCCCCGCCUGGGGAGUACGGCCGCAAGGUUGAAACUCAAAUGAAUUGACGG
rnacentral:rRNA from 1 species